CGUAGGGUGCGAGCGUUAAUCGGAAUUACUGGGCGUAAAGCGUGCGCAGGCGGUGAUGUAAGACAGAUGUGAAAUCCCCGGGCUCAACCUGGGAACUGCGUUUGUGACUGCAUCACUCGAGUACGGCAGAGGGAGGUGGAAUUCCGCGUGUAGCAGUGAAAUGCGUAGAUAUGCGGAGGAACACCGAUGGCGAAGGCAGCCUCCUGGGCCAGUACUGACGCUCAUGCACGAAAGCGUGGGGAGCAAACAGGAUUAGAUACCCUGGUAGUCCACGCCCUAAACGAUGUCAACUAGUUGUUCGGUGAGGAGACUCAUUGAGUAACGCAGCUAACGCGUGAAGCUGACCGCCUGGGGAGUACGGCCGCAAGGUUA
rnacentral:rRNA from 1 species